GUUCUCACUUCGGCAGCACAUAUACUAACAUUGGAAUGAUACAGAGAUUAGCAUGGCCCCUGAGCAAGGAUGACAUGCAAAUUCAUGAAGCAUUCCAUAUUUUU